UUCUUUAAUCAAAUACAUUUGGUACACCCGAUCCCUCGAUCUCGGAAGUUAAGCAACGCGCGGUCCGGACAGUGCUUGGAUGGGGGACCAACCAAGGACGUCCGGAUUGCUGUAGCCU
rnacentral:rRNA from 1 species